UUAGUGGAAAAAAAAAUCUUCAAAGCCAAAGAAAAUAAGUCCAUAAAACUAAAACUGGUUUGGUGAAAAAUGUAGAGGAAUGCCACUGAACUUUAAUAAUUUCUGAGUUAAAAAAUCAUUUACAAUGUUUAAGAACAUAUGUAAAUUAAUAGAACCAAAUUCCUAAUUGGAAUCCAAGAAAUAUUUCAGUAAAAACUUGAUAGUUCUACAUUUUUCUCUGAAGUAUGCAUUUCAGUUUUGCAUUUAUAGUAAUUAGUCUCUCUCUCUGAGAAGAAAGCUUUCCACACAGUUGUAACAGGCCUUUAAAGAUCUAGGUAAUAGGAAAGAAAUUCUUUCUACGAAUUCCUCUCCAUACUGUACUGCCUGCCACCGACACCUAGAAGGCCCUCCAGGCUGUCAAGAACUGCCAAAUGAUAAAAGAGAAAAUGAUGAAAAGAAAUGGAACCUUGGAGCUGACCGCCUAAAAGCCAAAAUUUCUCCUGGGAUUUCUGGAUACAAAAGAAAGCUUUUGGUACUUCCCAAAGAACACUGGAUCACAUUAACCUAUUCAAAUAUGAGGUCAGAUCUCAGUGUUUAGGUUUAAAGCUGUCCCAUAUGUGCCUUGAUAGGGAAAAAAGAUGACAAAUCACACCUUCGAAUAAAUUCAUUUUAAUCCCAUUCUUCCUUUUGAUGUAAUAAAAAUAGUCUUGUCAUGUAGCUACAAUUGCAUUUAAUGGUUGCCAUUUACAGAAAUGGAAAAAAGAUAUCUGAGUAUAAUGCCUUCAAAUAUGGCUAAUAGCAUUUUUACAUAUGAGAAAAAUACUUUUAUUUUACAUGAAUAAGACCAUUGCUUCAUCAUGAUGAUUAUUGAAAAUUCAGCAGCUUCUCUUAUUAUAGGGUAAUGAUAAGAACAGCUCCAUCUCUUCUCUGUCAUUUAUGUUAAAAAAUGGUGACAUCCGCAUCAGCACCAAAUGAGUUCAUCAUGAUUAAACUUAUUACCAUUUCUAAUUAACCUUGAGUGCCCCUGGAUGUUAACUGCACACAAGAUUGAGCUACUGGAGCAGAUUCUAGUGUGUAGCAAGAAGCGAAAGAAGGCAAUCACAAAUGACUCCUGAUUCUGGAAGCGCCUUUUCCUAGCUAUGAAAAUGUGCUACUCAGAAUGCUCACAGCAGGGAACAUAAGUGACUGACAGCCCCAGCUGCUGUCCCACUGGAUCCACCGCUAAGUUUGCUCCAAAACCCAGCGGAUGACCGAACAUGACAGUGGUACUAGAGCAGGAUCCUUCCAGCAGAGUGUGGGAUUCUUUUGAAGGGCACCUUCUACCUGAGAACUCCCCAAGGUUUUAGCCAAAACUUUUAUGGAACUGCAGUUUCCUCACUGUUACUGCUGAAGGAUGUCUUGCAAACGUGAUGAGAACCACCGGCUGGUCUACCCACAACGUUGGUUAUUGAUAGGCUGAGACUGGCAUGAAACAUACUGGAAACCCCUUACAGUUCUUUUCUACGAAUGCUGUAGCAGAAUAAACCAGACUCAAACAUAAUCCUUUGCAGAGAUUUAUGUAGCGCUUUAAACUCACCACUACAUUUAGAUUACAUGAAGCUUGGAUAAAGGAUACAAUGGCUAACACAAACAGAUUGCAAAAUGUGGGAUUAUAUAACAUGAGACAUUAUAUAUGUCUCGACUAAGAAGAUAAAACUGAAACAACCACACAUUUUGCUAAUUUGAUCCAGAGUCCAAUGACAAAAUCACAAGCACUCAUUCUUCCGUAGUAAUCACAGCCUGAUUUUGCUUUGAGAAAAAAGAAAUUUCUUUUGCUAGCUACAAAAAUCCACACAGUCCCUUCUUUAAUAAGAGUGCUUGUGUGGAUAAUGGACAUGCAAACCUAAUCAGUCCAAAGAUUUGUGCUGAAAUGAUCAAGAAAAUGGAGUUCACUUUCUUCAGAGUAUUUAGUUAGUGAGAUACAAACCUGGAACCUCCAGAAUCCCUUUUGCCAAAUCUAAGGUGAAAGUCCAUCUGUGAAUAAAUAUGACAGAG
ensembl:lncRNA